rnacentral:rRNA from 1 species
GAUGAACGCUGGCGGCGUGCCUAAUACAUGCAAGUCGAGCGAACGGACGAGAAGCUUGCUUCUCUGAUGUUAGCGGCGGACGGGUGAGUAACACGUGGAUAACCUACCUAUAAGACCGGGAUAACUUCGGGAAACCGGAGCUAAUACCGGAUAAUAUUUUGAACCGCAUGGUUCAAAAGUGAAAGACGGUCUUGCUGUCACUUAUAGAUGGAUCCGCGCUGCAUUAGCUAGUUGGUAAGGUAACGGCUUACCAAGGCAACGAUGCAUAGCCGACCUGAGAGGGUGAUCGGCCACACUGGAACUGAGACACGGUCCAGACUCCUACGGGAGGCAGCAGUAGGGAAUCUUCCGCAAUGGGCGAAAGCCUGACGGAGCAACGCCGCGUGAGUGAUGAAGGUCUUCGGAUCGUAAAACUCUGUUAUUAGGGAAGAACAUAUGUGUAAGUAACUGUGCACAUCUUGACGGUACCUAAUCAGAAAGCCACGGCUAGCUACGUG